rnacentral:rRNA from 1 species
UGGGGAAUAUUGGACAAUGGGCGAAAGCCUGAUCCAGCCAUGCCGCGUGUGUGAAGAAGGCCUUUUGGUUGUAAAGCACUUUAAGCGAGGAGGAGGCUACUUGGAUUAAUACUCUAGGAUAGUGGACGUUACUCGCAGAAUAAGCACCGGCUAACUCUGUGCUAGCAGCCGCGGUAAUACAGAGGGUGCGAGCGUUAAUCGGAUUUACUGGGCGUAAAGCGUGCGUAGGCGGCUUUUUAAGUCGGAUGUGAAAUCCCUGAGCUUAACUUAGGAAUUGCAUUCGAUACUGGGAAGCUAGAGUAUGGGAGAGGAUGGUAGAAUUCCAGGUGUAGCGGUGAAAUGCGUAGAGAUCUGGAGGAAUACCGAUGGCGAAGGCAGCCAUCUGGCCUAAUACUGACGCUGAGGUACGAAAGCAUGGGGAGCAAACAGG